rnacentral:rRNA from 1 species
GGCGGACGGCUGAGUAACACGUAGGGACCUGCCCCAUACUGGAGCAUAGCUGACCGAAAGGUUGGGUAAUACUCCAUGAUCUGUGUCGUAAGACAUUGUAAAAGCCUUAACCGGCUGGUAAGGGAUGGACCUGCGUCCUAUCAGAUAGUUGGUGAGGUAAUGGCUCACCUAGUCUACGACGGGUAGCUGGCCUGAGAGGGUGGUCAGCCAGAAGAGCACUGAGACACGGGCUCUACUCCUACGGGAGGCAGCAAUCAGGAAUAGUCGGCAAUGGGCGAAAGCCUGACCGCGCCACGCCGCGUGUAGGAUGAAGUUCUCAACGAGCGUAAACUACUGUGGUAAGGGAAGAAGAUCAAGUUUACUUGAUUUGACGGUACCUUAUUAGAAAGAAGCCGCUAACUGCGUGCCAGAAGCGUCGGUAAUACGUGGGCUUCAAGCGUUAUCCGGUGUCAUUGGGCGUAAAGUGUCGUGUAGGCGGUUUAACAAGUUCCUAUUUAAAACUCAAGGCUUAACUUUGAAUCAGAUAGGAAUACUGUUAUAACUAGAUUUUACUCAUGGGAGAUUGGAACAGAAUGAGGAGCAGUGAAAUGCGUUGAUACAUUUUGGAACAUCAGUGGCGAAGGCGAAUCUCUGGGAGUUUAAUGACGCUGAGACACGAAAGCUAGGGGAGCGAAGCAGAUUAGAGACCUGCGUAGUCCUAGCCCUAAACCAUGCUUGCUAGCUGCAUUGAAUAGAUUUAUCUACUCGGUGUGGCGAAGCUAACGCGUUAAGCAAGCCGCCUGGGGAGUACAGUCGCAAGGCUAAAACUCAAAGGAAUUGGCGGGGAGGCACACAACCAGUGGAACAUGUUGUUCAAUUCGAAACGAACCGAAGAACCUCGCCAAGGUUUGACAUCUAGGAGACAGUUUGGUGAAAGCCAGACAUUCCGCAAGGACUGCUAGACAGGUGCUGCAUGGCUGUCGUCAGCUCGUUCCGUGAGGAGUACCCUUAAGUGGGACAACGAGCGCAACCCCCACUCUGUGUUACAAGUAUCACAGGGGACUGCUCCACCUUUGGUGGAGAGGAAGGAGGGGCAGACGUCAAGUCAGCAUGGCCCUUAUGCCUUGGGCUACAAACAUGUUACAAUGAACAGCAACAAUGAGCUUUGCCACUCAGCAAUGGGGAGCCAAUCUCAUAAAUCUGUUCUCAGUGGGGAUUGAGGUCUGCAACUCGACCUCAUGAACUCGGAAUUGGUAGUAAUCGCGGAUCAGUCAUGCCGCGGUGAAUGCGUUCUUGCCUCUUGCACACACCGCCCGUCAAGCCAACAAAGUUGGCGCUAUUUGAACCUCGACUAUGUCGUGGGAGAAUGGUGUCGGCGAUGGGGGUUAAGUCGUAACAAGGUA